rnacentral:rRNA from 1 species
AUGUGUGCAAGUCAUUGGGCGAACUAAACCCAAAGGCGGAAUGAAAGUGAUGCAAUCUCCUAUGAGGGGAAGCUGGUAUCUAGUAUACCGUAAUAAGGCUUCCCCGGGCCGAUCCCAGGCCGGCUGCCGCGGGUCUCUGCGGCUCGGUUUUUUCCGUGAAGGCGGGGAGCUGGGUGAGACCCUUUCCUCAGUUCCCGUCUUGCCCGAUCGGGGCCGGGUCCGCGGGCUCGUGCGUAAAGGCCCUAGCCUGUCUGACAGGGGGGCGCAGGCCCGGGACUUUCCACCAGUGCCCGGCGGCGAAGGCGAAAGUGGGGGCCUCGGUUCCCGCUAGUAGUCGCGUAGCCGUCGUAGCCGAGGAAAGUACCCUGAGCACAUAUGUUGGGACCCGAAAGAUGGUGAACUAUGCCUGGCCAGGAUGAAGCCAGAGGAAACUCUGGUGGAGGUCCGUAGCGAUUCUGACGUGCAAAUCGAUCGUCAGAGCUGGGUAUAGGGGCGAAAGACUAAUCGAACUAUCUAGUAGCUGGUUCCCUCCGAAGUUUCCCUCAGGAUAGCUGGCACUCGAGGGACGGAGUUUCAUCCUGUAAAGCUAAUGAUUAGAGGUCUUGGGGACGAAACGUCCUCAACCUAUUCUCAAACUUUAAAUGGGUGAGAUGCCGAGCUUUCUUAAGCGGCUAGGGCGGCAACGCUCUAGCCCGUGAAGCUCUUGGCGGCCAAUCUGAGUGCCUAGUGGGCCACUUUUGGUAAGCAGAACUG